UUGUUUGAAAGGGAUAGAUGGAUCAUAUAUUGUUUCAGGACUUUUAUCAAAUUCUUAUGGCGUCAAAAUUUUUAAUAUAUUAUCAGAUAUUGGCAUAUCAUUUAAGCAAUUAGCACAACAGACAUUACCUUUAGCUUCCUAUUACUCCAUGACAGUGAGAUUUGUUGAGGAGAAAAUCUCACCAGAUGAUGGGCUAGUUAAUCAUGCUCUAAGAGGAACGAUACGAUCUUUGCUGAAGGAUUACUUGCUUUUUGUUCCACUCGAGACAGAACACAUUCAUGGUAAAUCAAACUUGCAGAAACUGUGGUUUUACAUUCAAGCUACUAUGCUUACAAUAUCUAUACUUUCGCAGAUUACAUCUACAAUAUGCAAGGUUAGUAUAAAGCAUUAAUGGAUACUAAUGAAUUCUGAUUAUAUUAUACUUAAUUCUAAAUACGCCCCAAUAGGAAAGCAUUUCUAAAACUAUAUGACGAAAUCUUAUAGGCAAUUUAUGUUUUGCAAUUAUGUAAAUAUAUUUCAACUAAUAGAUGUAAAAAUAUUGAUCUUUUAUGCCAUAUUAAUUAUUGUUUGCGAAAUGAAAUACUAAAUAGUAUUUCGGCAAAUCUAUAACGAUAUGGCGAAUCAUCUUAGCAGUAUAUUUGCAAAGUAAAAGUGUAGAAAGAAAUUGCUCACUAA